AUCUGGAGCAGUUCUCGCAGACGCUCAGAGAAACACCGGCCAACUUCACCCUGCUCUGGAGUUUCUCGUCUGAGUCCCAGAGAGAACGCUUCUCCAGGGCUGUUUCCUGACACUGAGCUCUGCCCUCUGCUGGAGAACACAGGCACAAACACUGCAGCACUGCCAGCUGACCGACAGCACCAGCACACAACACACGAGAGUGCAGGUGUGGGGUUGGCUGGUGGUGGCUGAAGGGUCUCCGUGGGUUCGUGUUGUUCCCGUCCAGCGAUGCCAAACCCACUGCCGCUCCUUCAGUCUGUGGCUGUGAGCCGGGGGACAUGGUGUUGGCGGAUCCGCGCUUCUGGCUGCUGGAGCUCUUCCCGUCUGGAGCUCAGAGAGUGCUGUGUGACGGCCCCUGUGCUCUGAGACUCUGACCACGCCGAGCCUCACACCUCUCCAGGAAGUGACAUCAGCACUCAGACGCUGGUGUUUCUGGGGUCUUCGGCUCCGGAGAUUGGUCUCUGAUCCUCGCGGCCAGACGCUCGGGAACACGUUCCACUUCAGAGAAACUGUAAUUUUGAUGAAAGAAAAUCAAACCUAUUUUAAUACAUUUUGACAGUCUUUUCAUGACCAUUGAGUGCAUUUCGUCUACAAUUACUGGGAUGCCAAAAAAAACAGAAAAAUCUCAUUACUGUACACAAAUAAAUUCUCAUUACCGUUACAAUACAAUUAAAUUAAUGUUAAUAUAUAAAGUCAACUGUAAAUUAUUUUAACAUUUUAUGGUAGUAUUUGUUGUACUGACUAAAUUUAAAUAAGAAUAUUAUUUCUGUAAUACAGCGCUGAGAACAAGAAUUUUUGGUGGAAUUUUUUUUUUGUGUUAUGGUAUAAAAAAAAAGGUGUAACGUAAUGAGCAUAAAUAUAACUGAUAUAAUGAAAACAAGAAUGAGAUUUAUUAUAAUUUUUUUAAAACAUUUUCCCAUAUUAUUGUAAA